rnacentral:rRNA from 1 species
AUUGAACGCUGGCGGCAGGCCUAACACAUGCAAGUCGAGCGGAUGAAGGGAGCUUGCUCCUGGAUUCAGCGGCGGACGGGUGAGUAAUUCCUAGGAAUCUGCCUGGUAGUGUGGGAUAACGUCCGGAAACGGGCGCUAAUACCGCAUACGUCCUGAGGGAGAAAGAGGGGGAUCUUCGGACCUCACGCUCUCAGAUGAGCCUAGGUCGGAUUAGCUAGUUGGUGGGGUAAAGGCCUACCAAGGCGACGAUCCGUAACUGGUCUGAGAGGAUGAUCAGUCACACUGGAAAUGAGACACGGUCCAGACUCCUACGGGAGGCAGCAGUGGGGAAUAUUGGACAAUGGGCGAAAGCCUGAUCCAGCCAUGCCGCGUGUGUGAAGAAGGUCUUCGGAUUGUAAAGCACUUUAAGUUGGGAGGAAGGGCAGUAAGUUAAUACCUUGCUGUUUUGACGUUACCAACAGAAUAAGCACCGGCUAACUUCGUG